GACGAACGCUGGCGGCGUGCUUAACACAUGCAAGUCGAACGGAAAGGCCCUGCUUUUGUGGGGUGCUCGAGUGGCGAACGGGUGAGUAACACGUGAGUAACCUGCCCUUGACUUUGGGAUAACUUCAGGAAACUGGGGCUAAUACCGGAUAGGAGCUCCUGCUGCAUGGUGGGGGUUGGAAAGUUUCGGCGGUUGGGGAUGGACUCGCGGCUUAUCAGCUUGUUGGUGGGGUAGUGGCUUACCAAGGCUUUGACGGGUAGCCGGCCUGAGAGGGUGACCGGCCACAGUGGCACUGGGGAGCGGGCCAGACUCAUACGGGGGGCAGCGGCGGAAGAUAGUGCACGCUGGGCGGAAGCCGGAUGCAGCAACGCCGCGUGCGGGAUGACGGCCUUCGGGGUGGAAACCGCGUGCGCCUGUGACGAAGAGUGAGUGACGGUAAUGGGUAAAGAAGCAACGGCUAACUACGUG
rnacentral:rRNA from 1 species